AAUGAAGAAUUUAACAUGAAUGAUGAACGUAAUACGAAUGGUAUUGAAAAUGUUCGAGAUGUGACAAAUGAAGCAAAUACACAAGAUAGAUGCCAUAAUACUAGAUGCUGUGUGGUACAUGCCGUGCCACACAACAAAUCAUAAUCAAACAGUUACAGAAAAAUGAAAAGAAGCUAAAUUUAUUGAUAAAUUUAGCAAAAAAUCCACUAGUUGCUGAUGCAAUUGAAUAUGAAAAAGGAUUAAUACCCGAGUUUCCUUUAACGAGCUUGGAUGAUUUAUUAAA